rnacentral:lncRNA from 1 species
UCAGCUUUAAAUUCACUGUCAUAGAAAGUCUCAAUCCACAUACCACAUGCCUGUAAUCCCAGCAGCUCAGGAGGUUGAGGCAGGAGGAUGGAGUUCAAAGACAGCCUCAGCAAAAGUGAGGUGCUAAGCAACUCAUGAGACCCUGUCUCUAAAUAAAAAUCAAAAUAGGAGUGUGGAUGUGGCUUUGUGGUUGAGUGCCCCUGAAUUCAAUCCCUGGAAUAGAGUCUUCCUCCUCUGAAAACUCAUGAGCCCAGUCUUUACUGUCCACAGUUCCAUCGGCAUUCUGGUCUAUGAGUUUUCAUCAGAAUCACCCAUUAAACUCUGCUCACAACAACCUAAAGAUUUUCCAACUUGCAUCUCUCUCUUUUCAAAAUAGUGCCCACAAGUUCCAAAAAGUUUCCAAAGAAUCUGAAACAUGUGGUUAGGUUAGUUACAGCAACCAUGGUACUUCUUGGUAUGAAUUUUUGUUUUAGUCAACUUUUUCAAAAUACCAGAGAAGAAAACACAGAGAAGGAAAAGUAUAUUUUGGCUCAUGGAAUCAGAUGUCUUUGACAACAGAUGGCUGACUCCAUAGCACUGAGCCUAAGUUGAGACAGGACAUCAUGGUGGAAAGACAUAGAGGAGGAAAGCAGCUCAGGACAUGGACACAAGGAAGCAGAGAGAGCUCCUCUAACCAGGGACAACAUAUAAACCCAAAGGGACACCCUAAGUGACCCAUCUCCUUCAGUUACACCUUGUCUACCUAUAGUUGCCACCAUUUAAUCUGCACUGGUGGAUUCAUUCACUGAUUAGGAUAAAGCUUCCAUUAUCCCAUCAUUCCACCUCUAAGCUUUCUUUCAUUGUCCUGUACAUGAGCUUUUGGGUGAUAUCUCAUAUCUAAAUUGUAACAGUGACAUUGAGUACUUAUUCAAAUAUUUGGUGACCACUUAUACAUCUUCUUUGAAAAAUUGUCUCUUCAUGUCUUUGGCCCAUUUUAAAUCAUGUUUUUUUGUUUUUGUUCUUGAUUUUUGCUGUUGAGUUUUGUGAAAUAUUUAGAUAUCUUGAAUACUAAUUAAUAUUUGAAAUUUUUUGUAAAUAUUUUCUCUCAUUCUCUAAGUUUCAUCUUCCUUUUGUUAUUUCCUUUGCUUUACAGAAUUUUUACUCCCACUUGUCUAUGAUUGUUUUUUUGCCUAUGCUUUUAGUGUAAAAUCUGGAAAGACAUUAAUAAAACCAAUGUCAAGGUACUCCUCCCCCAUAUUUUCUUUUAGGUUUUAC